UCUCCUCUUACUGAAGCACUGCCAAUUUUGUCAAACUAUUUCGAAGGUUUUACUCCGUUACUUUCAAAGGCACCAAGUCAAUGUGAUCCAGAGCAAUUUAGAAAUACCUCUAACCCACCUGGAAAUGUUAGCCAUGGAGUAUGUUUCUGCAGUGAUAUAUACCCGAAGUGGAUCACAUGCUUCUGCGAACUGACUGAGCCAUGCCCUGGCUAGAUCCUGGUGCCACAGAUCUUGCCAUCAGGAACUUACAGUCAAGGAAGAUGGAAAAGUAAAGAAGGAAAUAACUUAUGCUUGCAACAACAGACAUCUGAAUACAGAGAGGAAACAGAGAAUGCUUAGCUGGAGAUAUCUAUCUAUAGGAACAUGUUAGAAUGGCUUUGGAAAGGCAUUCAUUGUUGAGCUGAAUAUUGAAAGAUAAACAGGAACACUUAAGGAAACACUUCUGAAGCUUAGAGACCUUUUCUAAAUGAUGAUCUGUCAUCAACUUAUAAGAAACAUCACUUUUGAGGACACCAAAAGAAGUUCCAGAGAAAGCAUAUGGACAUCAGGAAAUUAUGUUGCCUUUUGAUCAUGAACAAGUCAUCUGCAAGUGUCUCCUGAGAUCCAAGAUUGGCCCAGGACUUCAUUUUCAAACAGAAUUGAUGGGGCAUUAAAGCCAAAAGCGUCUGGGACCAACCAGACAACCCAAUCAGCUUAUCUAUGCAUGAACUAUGACAGAGACCAAAUGUAACUCCAAAAAGCAUCAAAGCAAUUGCCUGUGGAUUCUGCCAAUAGAGGAACAUGCUGCCAGUGAAAAAGAGCAUCCUGGCUUAGCAGCUGGAGCUUCAAACUGCUUUUUUAAAAUGAACAAAAAUAGAAGUACAAAGAAC